AAAAUGUUUGCUGACUUGCUCAUUAAAUAUAAAUAUUUUGAAAAUAGCAAAGUACCUGCCAGAAAAGCAAUGAAUUCACUUUCAAAACAGUUAGUUAGUAGAUCCUUCAAUUUCCAGAAAAUUAAAUAAGGGUAUAUAUCCAAUGGAUGUGGUUGAUUUGAGACUCCCAAAGGAUGAUAUCAAAGAUAUGAACAUUCGUAAAGCUGUUAACUGCUUGGUGAAGUUCGAAAAGAAAUUGCUCAUAGGAAAACAUGAUGUAGGUGAAAAAGAACAGAAAAAAGAAAACUUGAGAAUAUAUCUCAAACUACCUGUUCAGAAAAUGGAAGUUUACAGAAGGUAGAACCGUUUCUUAAUAUUAAUAAAUUUCCAAAGAAUGAAGAAGAUAAGCCUAUAAUAGAUAUGUCGAGCAUACCCAAAAGUAUCUGAGAAUGGGGAUUUCCUUCAAUGAAGAUCCAGCCACCAGUAAAUUGGCAUUACCGAAAUCCUUUUCAUCCGAAACUGAAAAAAUUUCCUGAAUUUCUUAUUGAGCAAUUUACUGGACUCUGGAGUGUUUCCAUUAGCAAGUGCAAUUUAUCCCAGCAACCAAAAACAAAAUCCAUAAAAACAAUUGAUAGUGAAAAAAGGUAGAUAAAAUCAUUUGAAAUGGCAAUAAGAGACUUGGUAAGCAUCAGAUGUUGGAAAUCAAGGCUGAGACACCCAUAAAUCCUUUUUACAAGAACUUUUAUUUUUAAACUAUAUUAGGAAGGGACUACGGAUUUGGAGGAGCUGCAACAGUUAUCCAAGACGUUCACAAAGAGGAAGAUGAAGUUAGGGUUCACUCAAGGAGACGUGGGCUUAGCUAGGGGGAAAUUAUUCGGUACAAAUUUUUCGCAAACAAUAUUCAUCUUCGAACCUCUAGAACUUGGCUUAAAGAACAUGAGCAAACUGAAGCUUCUCCACCAAAAAUGGCACAAUGACCAAUCCAGGAGCUCUGAGCAACCCUCUGACGAAACCAGAAUCCAUUGGAAGAUGUCAAAAAAACAGAUUCAUUAGAAAUUAGCUUUAGAGAAAGCGUUCAUUCAGAACCUAAAGCCUACAUCGAAAGAAAUUACAAUUUUGGAGAACAAGCUUUUAAAGUUUCACUUCCUGCAGAUGAAAACAUUGUCGAAACGUUCUUUAAACGGUUGUCAAGAUUCUGCGGAUUAGAGAGUGGUUCUUAUUUAACUUCUGUAGAAUACUAUGCUAACCGUGAACUCUAAAUAAGUAGGUACUUCAUAUGCGGAGAUAUGGAAUUUUCACAAUAUUGGGUUAUUUUUGAGAUCCCACCUCAUAAAAUGACCGAGAAUUCCUUAAUAUGGAAGAGAAAAAGGUUACCAAUGACAAAAUAUUGAGAGAGUUGGAUGAAAAAUUUUCACCUGUUACUUAGUCGAAACCAGAUAAAUUAAGAGCAACAUACUGGCACUUUGAAGAAGAAGAAAAAAGUAAGGAUUUUAGAACCAAGAACGGCGCAGAACCUUAGUAUAGACCACAUAUCAUUGGGAUGAGCCUCUCAAGGAAGGAGAAUAUGAAUUAUGAAGUAACAAUCUCAUCGAAAUCCUAUAUGGAAAAAUUGAAAAAAAAAUUCUGAAAAACCUUCUAUGAACCUUCAACAAUUGAUUGACAACAGUCUGAUCAAAUUCAAGCAUCCGAAGGAACUCAAAAAAAGUGAUCAAUGUUCAACACUUGAAAGAACAAAGAAGGUUAAGAUAAGUAGGUACUAGUCUUGACCAAUCACAAAUAUUUGAUGAAUACCAUUUAUUGAUUUUGAGCUCACUCACUAUAGUAUUUGGUGGUAGCAAGAAACCUGAUAAGCCAUUUUUAGAAUGUGAGGCUAGAACACCCAUUAAUCCUUUUUAUAAGAAGAACAGACUCCAUUAAUAGAACAUGUUCCAUGAAUGUCUCGACUUGAUCUGGUUGUUAUGAAUUGAAGGAUAUAUCUGACUUUCAAUGAAUUUUGUAAAUAUCAUUAUUCAUCUCUAAUUUUUUUUUACUUUGAAUGAAGGCAUCGACUACCAUAGUAUUAGCCUGUGUUAAAGUAAAAAUAUACAAAAAGGAAAUGAGUUCUCGAACACUAAAGGCACUCAACAAUUAGGAUUCGGAAAAAGCCAUCGACCCACUAAUAAAUCCUGGGACAGACAAACAAAUAAAUGAGUAUAUAAAUAUAUAACUAUAUAAAUGAAUGAAUAUGAAUUCUCUAAUUAAUCAAAAUUACAUGUUCACUUGUUGAUUAGUCUUGAACCAAGACUACUUAACUAGACUUUUCCACAUGAGUAUGGUCAUAACCGAAUAUGAUUCGUCUGAUUUUCAUAUUAUUGAUUAUUAUCCUCUCAUAAUUGGGUGAAUUUGAGUAAGGUGAACCUGAGUAUUGAUGUUUCAAUAUAAUUUAUAUCGAUUUGAUACUUUAUGCAUAGUUUUACGCUUAGUAAUUCUUUAUGGGUAUUUUAUUCCAAAUGUAAUUUGUAAAUAUAUAAGGGAAGAAUAAGGAAGAAGUGCUGUGGCGACGCUAGCUUUCAGAAAGAGGGGUGUCCAAGAGGGGGCCGGAUUUUUUUUUGGGGGGGCCAAAGUUAAGAGAAACUAUAGUUCUGCUAGUCUCUAAAGCCUCAGUAUGUCAAAUUUUAGGGGGGCGGCAGCAGAAUUUCAGGGGCGGCCCGGGUCCCCCAUGUUCCCCUCCUAGCGUCGUCACUGAAGAAGUAGUCAGUUCAUCCCACUCAAGAAGAAAGAAAGACAACAUAGAUCAACAACAAGAAUUUCCGGUACUAUUCAUUGAAUGCAAAAAGUUGAGUUAGGGCAAGUUUCUGAGGAUGAAAUUGUUACUUCAGAAAGUUAGCCUUCAGAUCCAAGAGCUGGUAGGGUUAACGUAGAUCUUCCUCAAAUGAAAUUCAGCCUUAAAAUGAUUGCUGACUUGCUCAUUAAAUAUAAAUAUUUUGAAAAUAGCAAAGUACCUGCUAGAGAAGCAAUGAAUUUACUUUCAAAA